rnacentral:rRNA from 1 species
UAGGUAACCUGCCUGGUAGCGGGGGAGUAACUAAUUGGAAACGAUAGCUAAUACCGCAUAAGAGUAGAUGUUGCAUGACAUUUGCUUAAAAGGUGCAAUUGCAUCACUACCAGAUGGACCUGCGUUGUAUUAGCUAGUUGGUGGGGUGACGGCUCACCAAGGCGACGAUACAUAGCCGACCUGAGAGGGUGAUCGGCCACACUGGGACUGAGACACGGCCCAGACUCCUACGGGAGGCAGCAGGG